rnacentral:rRNA from 1 species
UGGGGAAUUUUGCACAAUGGGGGGAACCUUGAUGCAGCGACGCCGCGUGAGGGAUGGAGGCCUUCGGGUUGUGAACCUCUUUCGCUCGUGUGCAAGCCGCUAUUUGGGUAGUGGUGAGUGUAGCGAGUAAAGAAGCGCCGGCUAACUACGUGCCAGCAGCCGCGGUAAUACGUAGGGCGCGAGCGUUGUCCGGAUUUAUUGGGCGUAAAGGGCUUGUAGGCGGUUUGUCGCGCCUGUCGUGUAAUCCUCUGGCUUAACUGGGGGUGUGCGGUGGGUACGGGCAGGCUUGAGUGCGGUAGGGGAGAUUGGAAUUCCUGGUGUAGCGGUGGAAUGCGCAGAUAUCAGGAGGAACACCGGUGGCGAAGGCGGGUCUCUGGGCCGUUACUGACGCUGAGGAGCGAAAGCGUGGGGAGCGAACAGG